rnacentral:rRNA from 1 species
GAUGAACGCUAGCUACAGGCUUAACACAUGCAAGUCGAGGGGAAACGACAUGAAGCUUGCUUUUGAUGGGCGUCGACCGGCGCACGGGUGAGUAACGCGUAUCCAACCUGCCCACCACUUGGGGAUAACCUUGCGAAAGUAAGACUAAUACCCAAUGACGUCUCUAGAAGACAUCUGAAAGAGAUUAAAGAUUUAUCGGUGAUGGAUGGGGAUGCGUCUGAUUAGCUUGUUGGCGGGGUAACGGCCCACCAAGGCGACGAUCAGUAGGGGUUCUGAGAGGAAGGUCCCCCACAUUGGAACUGAGACACGGUCCAAACUCCUACGGGAGGCAGCAGUGAGGAAUAUUGGUCAAUGGGCGAGAGCCUGAACCAGCCAAGUAGCGUGCAGGAUGACGGCCCUAUGGGUUGUAAACUGCUUUUAUAAGGGAAUAAAGUGAGUCUCGUGAGACUUUUGCAUGUACCUUAUGAAUAAGGACCGGCUAAUUCCGUGCCAGCAGCCGCGGUAA